rnacentral:rRNA from 1 species
AGUGAACGCUGGCGGUAUGCCUAACACAUGCAAGUCGAACGGCAGCACAGUAAGAGCUUGCUCUUACGGGUGUCGAGUGGCGGACGGUUGAGUAAUACAUCGGAUUCUACUUUUUCGUGGGGGAUAACGUGGGGAAACUUACGCUAAUACCGCAUACGACCUACGGGUGAAAGCAGGGGAUCUUCUGACCUUGCGCGAUUGAAUGAGCCGAUGUCGGAUUAGCUAGUUGGCGGGGUAAAGGCCCACCAAGGCGACGAUCCGUAGCUGGUCUGAGAGGGUGAUCAGCCAGACUGGAACUGAGGCACGGCACAGACUCCUACGGGAGGACGCAGUGGGGACUAUUGGACAAUGGGCGAAAGCCUGAUCCAGCAAUACCGGGUGGGUGAAGAACGCCUUCGGGUUGGAAAGCCCUUUUGUUCGGAAAGAAAAGAAGCAGGUUAAUACCCCGCUAUUCUGACGGUACCGAAAGAAUAAGCACCGGCUAACUUCGUG